ensembl:lncRNA
AUAGCAUCCGCUCUUACUGUGGUAGCUGCAACAACUUCCAGAACAUUUCUGGUGUACGGAGGUAGCAAUAUACUUAGCCCGCUCAACUUUCCAUCAAGUUAGGAUAAUUUACUGCAUUUUGGGGUGAAGGCUCACUCGCCGCUGCGAGAACCUAAGAUGCUUAUCGCGAAGAGGAGGCAAAUAAAAUGGCCAGGUGGGAAGGUAAAUGAGCCCAGGUGGCCGCGAUACCCAGGAGGGAAGCCUUGCAAUCAACAGCAACAAAAACUAGCAUCCACGGUGACGGCCCGAGGUGAUGACUCAUCCUCCGCCGUGAUGGAUCGCAGAAGAUAAAGAACUACAAGCCGCGGGAGCGCGGCCAGAUUUGGUCACCGUGCAUGUAACCGUAGACCCUGGAUCAUCACGGCAACAAUCUUUUACCAGCUACAACUGGCGCAGAAAGACACUUUUAGUAGUUCGCAAGCGUCUGCUAAUGUGGAUCUCCUUUCCGAAUCGUGGACGAUAAGCGACGCUGAAACGCUCCCUGAAACGGAAUCACGCGGAAACCGAAAGCUUAUCAAGAUGAAACUGUGCAAUGAUACAAGAAUUAUCCAUCACCAUCCAUCAUGUAUUUGUUUGCAGGAAACAGAUUACAUGGAUCUUAAUUGAAAUAUUAUUUUACCUUCAUUUGAAUUAUUUAUGGGGCUGCUGACUGAAUUCAUACCUCCAGAGAAAAACAUG